rnacentral:rRNA from 1 species
GAUGAACGCUGGCGGCGUGCCUAAUACAUGCAAGUCGAGCGAACGGACGAGAAGCUUGCUUCUCUGAUGUUAGCGGCGGACGGGUGAGUAACACGUGGAUAACCUACCCAUAAGACUGGGAUAACUUCGGGAAACCGGAGCUAAUACCGGAUAAUAUUUUGAACCGCAUGGUUCAAAAGUGAAAGACGGUCUUGCUGUCACUUAUAGAUGGAUCCGCGCUGCAUUAGCUAGUUGGUAAGGUAACGGCUUACCAAGGCAACGAUGCAUAGCCGACCUGAGAGGGUGAUCGGCCACACUGGACCUGAGACACGGUCCAGACUCCUACGGGAGGCAGCAGUAGGGAAUCUUCCGCAAUGGGCGAAAGCCUGACGGAGCAACGCCGCGUGAGUGAUGAAGGUCUUCGGAUCGUAAAACUCUGUUAUUAGGGAAGAACAUAUGUGUAAGUAACUGUGCACAUCUUGACGGUACCUAAUCAGAAAGCCACGGCUAACUACGUG